rnacentral:rRNA from 1 species
UACAGAGGGUGCAAGCGUUAAUCGGAAUUACUGGGCGUAAAGCGCGCGUAGGUGGUUCGUUAAGUUGGAUGUGAAAUCCCCGGGCUCAACCUGGGAACUGCAUUCAAAACUGACGAGCUAGAGUAUGGUAGAGGGUGGUGGAAUUUCCUGUGUAGCGGUGAAAUGCGUAGAUAUAGGAAGGAACACCUGUGGCGAAGGCGGCCCCCUGGGCCGGCCCUGACACUGAGACGCGAAGGCGUGGGGAGCGAACGGG